AGAGUUUGAUCCUGGCUCAGGAUGAACGCUGGCGGCGUGCUUAAUACAUGCAAGUCGAACGAAGACUCACUUUGUAGCAAUACGAGGUGUUUCUUAGUGGCGAAUGGGUGCGUAACACGUAGGUGACCUGCCCCGAAGUGUGGAAUAACAGUUCGAAAGGACUGCUAAUACCGCAUGGGGUCCCGGUGGUUUGAGUGCCGGGUCUAAAGUCGCAAGACGCUUCGGGAGGGGCCUGCGGCCCAUCAGGUAGUUGGUAGGGUAAUGGCCUACCAAGCCGACGACGGGUAGGGGAUCUGAGAGGAUGGUCCCCCACACUGGCACUGACACACGGGCCAGACUCCUACGGGAGGCAGCAGUAGGGAAUAUUGCACAAUGGGCGAAAGCCUGAUGCAGCAACGCCGCGUGCGCGAUGAAGGCCUUCGGGUCGUAAAGCGCUUUUCGGGGGGAUGAGGAAGGACAGUACCCUCGAAUA
rnacentral:rRNA from 1 species